GAUUUUUGGAAAGUGGAGGAUAUUUUCGCGAAGCGGCCACGUUUCCAAAGCGGGGGGAUUUUUGAAAGCUUCCUUCUGGCCUUUCUGGAUGUUUGCACGGACCCUCGUGUCCACCUGCUGACGACACUCGCUCAGGCCCAAGUGGACUUUUAAAGUGUGGCAACAACAGCAGCAGACUCAGUGCUGACAGACAUUUCUUUAUGGCUGAAUCAUUUUUCCUUCUUAAUGAUGCUCGAUUCCCACAAAUAAAAAAC
ensembl:lncRNA